rnacentral:rRNA from 1 species
GGGGGUAUCAACUCCCCCCUGUGCCGCAGUUAACACAAUAAGUAUCCCGCCUGGGGAGUACGGUCGCAAGAUUAAAACUCAAAGGAAUUGACGGGGGCCCGCACAAGCAGCGGAGCAUGUGGUUUAAUUCGAAGCAACGCGAAGAACCUUACCUGGACUUGACAUCCCUUGCAUAGCCUAGAGAUAGGUGAAGCCCUUCGGGGCAAGGAGACAGGUGGUGCAUGGUUGUCGUCAGCUCGUGUCGUGAGAUGUUAGGUUAAGUCCUGCAACGAGCGCAACCCUUGUUAUUAGUUGCUACCAUUAAGUUGAGCACUCUAAUGAGACUGCCUGGGUAACCAGGAGGAAGGUGGGGAUGACGUCAAAUCAUCAUGCCCCUUAUGUCCAGGGCUACACACGUGCUACAAUGGUAGGUACAAUAAGAGGCAAGACCGUGAGGUGGAGCAAAACUUAUAAAACCUAUCUCAGUUCGGAUUGUAGGCUGCAACUCGCCUACAUGAAGCUGGAGUUGCUAGUAAUCGCGAAUCAGAAUGUCGCGGUGAAUACGUUCCCGGGCCUUGUACACACCGCCCGUCACACCAUGAGAGCUGGUAACACCCGAAGUCCGUGAGGUAACCGUAAGGAGCCAGCGGCCGAAGGUGGGAUUAGUGAUUGGGGUGAAGUCGUAACAAGGU